UCUAGUAGCUGGUUCCCUCCGAAGUUUCCCUCAGGAUAGCUGGUGCAUUUAAAAUUUAUGUAAAAUAAUCUUAUCUGGUAAAGCGAAUGAUUAGAGGCCUUAGGGUCGAAACGAUCUUAACCUAUUCUCAAACUUUAAAUGGGUAAGAACCUCACCUUUCUUGGUAUGAAGGUCGUGGUUGUGAUAUAAUGUGCCCAGUGGGCCACUUUUGGUAAGCAGAACUGGCGCUGUGGGAUGAACCAAACGUAAUGUUACGGUGCCCAAAUUAACAACUCAUGCAGAUACCAUGAAAGGCGUUGGUUGCUUAAAACAGCAGGACGGUGGACAUGGAAGUCGUAAUCCGCUAAGGAGUGUGUAACAACUCACCUGCCGAAGCAACUAGCCCUUAAAAUGGAUGGCGCUUAAGUUGUAUACCUAUACAUUACCGCUAAAGUAGAUGGUUUAUAUUCAAUCUCGGUUGAAUUAAAAGCUUUGAAACUUUAGUGAGUAGGAGGGUACAGUGGUGAGCGUAGAAGUGUUUGGCGUAAGCCUGCAUGGAGCUGCCAUUGGUACAGAUCUUGGUGGUAGUAGCAAAUAAUCGAAUGAGACCUUGGAGGACUGAAGUGGAGAAGGGUUUCGUGUGAACAGUGGUUGAUCACGAGUUAGUCGGUCCUAAGUUUAAGGCGAAAGCCGAAAAUUUUCAAGUUAUAAAAAAGAAGAAAAAAACAAAGUUUUUUUUGAUUAACAAUAUUAUUAAACACUUGAAUAAUUUUGAACGAAAGGGAAUACGGUUCCAAUUCCGUAACCUGUUGAGUAUCCGUUUGUUAUUAAAUAUGGGCCUUGUGCUCAUCCUGGCAACAGGAACGACCAUAAAGAAGCCGUCGAGAGGUAUCGGAAGAGUUUUCUUUUCUGUUUUAUAGUCGUACUACCAUGGAAGUCUUUCGAAGAGAGAUAUGGUAGAUGGACUAGAAGAGCAUGACAUUUUACUGUUGUGUCGAUAUUUUCUCCUCGGACCUUGAAAAUUUAUGGUGGGGUCACGCAAACUUCUCAACAGGCCGUACCAAUAU
rnacentral:rRNA from 1 species